rnacentral:lncRNA from 1 species
CGUGACUUGUAUUUGUCAAAAGAAAUAAGAAAUUGUCCGAGCAUGAACAAGGAUAUAAAUUUUGCAAAUGAUUUGGAAAUAAGGGUCAAAAUAUGUGCGAUUAUGUGCAUGUUCUUAGUCUGGAGCUGCAGUAGUGAUCGUUUUGUGUCGCAUUUUUAUGCGUUUUCACGUUGGCUUUUGUGUUGUUUUUUACUCUUCAAUAAUUUCCAUAUAUAUUGAAUUCAGAACUUAAAUAUCGUUAAAAAAGCAGUCUGAUUCUUCAAACAAAUAGGUAACUGAAACUGAAAUAAACAAGAUCCUUG